CGUUGCAUCCAGAAUAACUAUCCAACUACAUCUAGAAUAACUUUUGUAUCGCAGCACAUUUUGCAUGUCAUCUUGAAUCCGUUGUUGAAAUGGUAACGAUCCGCCCAAAACUAAACGGAUAUCUGUGUGCAUAGAUAGCACUUCAAAGGUAGCGGCGAACUUUAACCUGAUGACGCAUUGUUUAAUGUCAAAAAUCGGAUUCUAUAUGGUCCACAUUCUAGAAUUGUAUAGAAAUUGUUCCAUCUGCGAUUAUCGGAACCGCCCGUCAUGACAAAGAAGUGCUGCUAACGUUCCUAUCAGGCGACAAUCGAUACCCCCGAAAAUGCGCUACAGAUUGCCAACCGUCCGGACAUUACCAUUAAUUACAUUUUAGCUGACCAGCACAACUCUGAAAUCGUUUCCUGUUGCGAAGGAGUUACCAGCCGAUACUGCUAAUGCAUC